rnacentral:miRNA from 1 species
AGAUGCAGGUUGGGUCUUUAUG